rnacentral:rRNA from 1 species
GAUGAACGCUGGCGGCGUGCCUAAUACAUGCAAGUCGAGCGAACAGACGAGGAGCUUGCUCCUCUGACGUUAGCGGCGGACGGGUGAGUAACACGUGGAUAACCUACCUAUAAGACUGGGAUAACUUCGGGAAACCGGAGCUAAUACCGGAUAAUAUAUUGAACCGCAUGGUUCAAUAGUGAAAGACGGUUUUGCUGUCACUUAUAGAUGGAUCCGCGCCGCAUUAGCUGGUUGGUAAGGUAACGGCUUACCAAGGCAACGAUGCGUAGCCGACCUGAGGGGGUGAUCGGCCACACUGGAACUGAGCCACGGUCCAGACUCCUACGGGAGGCAGCAGUAGGGAAUCUUCCGCAAUGGGCGAAAGCCUGACGGAGCAACGCCGCGUGAGUGAUGAAGGUCUUCGGAUCGUAAAACUCUGUUAUUAGGGAAGAACAAAUGUGUAAGUAACUAUGCACGUCUUGACGGUACCUAAUCAGAAAGCCACGGCUAACUACGUG